rnacentral:rRNA from 1 species
CAAGGAAUUUUCCCCAAUGGGCGCAAGCCUGAGGGAGCAACGCCGCGUGCAGGACGACGGCCUUCGGGUUGUAAACUGCUUUUGGGAGGGACGAUGAUGACGGUACCUCCCGAAUAAGCCUCGGCUAACUACGUGCCAGCAGCCGCGGUAAUACGUAGGAGGCAAGCGUUGUCCGGACUGACUGGGCGUAAAGCGCGCGCAGGCGGUGCGGGGCGUCGGUGCUGAAAUCGGGCCGCUCAACGGCCCGCGGCGUGCCGAUACGCCCGCACUGGAGGGUGGGCGAGGGUGGUGGAAUUGCCGGUGUAGUGGUGAAAUGCGUAGAGAUCGGCAGGAACACCCGUGGCGAAAGCGGCCACCUAGCCCGCACCUGACGCUGAUGCGCGACAGCGUGGGGAGCGAACUGGAUUAGAUACCCAGGUAGUCCACGCCGUAAACGAUGCCGACUCGGUAUCCGGCUGGCUAACGCUGGCGGGGUGCCCCAGCUUACGCGGUAAGCCGGCCGCCUGGGGACUACGAGCGCAAGCUUAC